rnacentral:lncRNA from 1 species
AUAAAAUGUACAUUUAUUUCUCUCCCAUGUCAAUGAAAUCCAGAUGUUGGCAGCCUGGGACAAGUAUGGCAACUCUACAGUCAUCAUCAGUCACUAUCUUAUAGCUCCAUUAUCUUCAACAUGAGUUUUUGUCUAGUGGUUUAAGAUGGUCACUGGAGCUCCAUCCAGGCUGCUUUCUUGCCAACAAAAAAAUCAUAUUUUCCCAAAGUCUGACAAAUCACUGCCCAGGUGUACUCAUGCAAACCCAUUCUGAUGCAAGAAAACUGAAAAAUGUCUUUAUUCCAACUAGGGGUAGGAGGCAUUUGCCUAGCUAAAAAUUAAGGAUUCUAUUUUUAAUAAAGUAAGGUAGCUAGAUAUUGGUGGACAGCCCACAAUCUCUACCAAAGUAGAUCAAUUUCCCUAAGCCUGCUCAUUUUUGACAUCAGAGAACUGCUGCACAACAACCCCCAGGAUAAACCACCCUGUGAGCCCAGGAAGAGAAGAUGGCUGGAUUCCCUCUCAACACUCUCCUGCCUCAGUGUGAAUUUAAUCCCCAUACCCCAUAAGCCCCAGAGCCUCCAUUCUGUUGCUGCUACAGCACCUGUCCAAAGUUCCCUCCUUUCCAAUUUUGGUCUCAUCACUAAACUUCAGACCUCCGUGACCACUGGUCUGGACUUUUGCAAUAAUGCCCUCAUUGUUCUUCUGCCUCUACUCACUCUCCAAGCCUUUCUGCUGAUGGAUUGCUCUUCCUGAGGCACAAGUCCCACCAUGAUAUAUCCCUGCUCAAGAAUGUCCAUGGUUUCCCAUUUUCUGCCCUAAAGUCUAAAUUCCUUAGAAUCCUGAAGGCUUUCUAUGACAAGGCCUUUCCCUGAAUUCCUAAGCUCAUCACUCUGAAGACACUUGGAGAUCCAGCAAGUGCCACUCCUUAAAUAUGACUUGAACACUUCUGCCUCCAUGCCUUCCUUCCUGCUCUUCUUUCUGCUUGGCAUGCUCUUCCUUUGUCUCAGCCUGCCUAAAUCCUACCCAUCUCACAAAGCUCAGGACAAAGGCCUCCUCCCCCAUGAAGCUUUGCCCAAGCUAGAAUGACCGUCACCCUCCUAAGUGUUGCCACAGGGCAUUAUGCUUCCAUUCGGCUCACAUUACAAGUAUUUCUGUGUUCCCUACUAGAGUGGGGCUGGGCUAUGCUUGCUUGCUCACAGCAUCUCACAUUAGUGCCUGCCAUAUCAGCAACAUGCAAUGAGCGUUGGUAGAACUGAAUUGCAGAGUACAGCUGGGGCUCCGUGGAACAGAACCAGUUGGAAAUAGGAUGUGAAUGAGAACAGCUCACAGAAUGACCUGCUGUGCCUGCCAGAAUUUGGAAAGUUGGGGUGACCACUGACACCACUCUGGGAGCAAGUAUUCGGGUUCCACUUAAAUAUACAAAUGUAGGCCCAGGACUUCCACCAAAAUGAAGCCCCUUCUGGGCUUGUGUUUGAGGAGCUGUAUAGGGUGAUAGAGUGACACUGGUAAGGAUUGCUGUCCUCUCUACUUUAUUUUUUUUUUUAAGGUUCAAGAUCUGAGUUGCCAUAAAAAUAAAAACCUUGGUGGGGGUGGGGGUGUGGAGGGAUUUGAAAGAAAACUGUAAAUUAUCAAGAAAAAUGAUUCAUUUCUCAGAUGAAGACCCUCAGUCCCAGAAAAGCAAGGGUGAGUAUGCCCAAGGUCACCCAGCCAGGGUGAAGGGUGGGACUUAGCCUGUCCCAAUCCCAGUCUACUAUUUUCUGCUCCACCACCAUAGCUGCCCAGGGUGAAGACACCAUCAGUUCUUAAGGUCACUUCUAAUUUGGGGAAAUAAAAGGUCUUGAAGGUUACACAGAGAUUUGUGCACUGCUGAUCUUAAUUUUAUGCUUGCCGUCAUAAAACCAGUUUAUGCUUAUACAACUAAAGGGGGAAGACAUGCAUCCAAUUCUCUCAGUUUCAGUUCUUUGUCUUUGCAUCAGUUAUUUAGAUUUUUCCCUUCUCUGCUCAUUAUCACUUUUCCUGAGGAGGUAACAAAAUGUCUUUUUCAAUUUUCUUCUGGGACUAAUUCUCACUGGGAUCACCCAUUUUUUUCUCCAGUUUGCAACUGGCUAGAUUUGAUUGGAAUAGAUAAGGCCUCCGACCAUAGGCUGUUGAAAGGCCCUUUGUUUGUGGAUUACAAGCGGUCAUUCAGUUUAUCCCAUUCAUUAUGCGACCCUACUUUUUUGAGUUGCAAGGUUAAGGCCUGGGGCAAAAUGUUGAUGGAAAGGAACAUUAAGCACCAAGUAGUACCGUGUUUGUGUUCAUUCCAAUCCACAUUCACCUCCCUUAACUGGUGAAGGUUAUGACUACAGCCCACUCUCUAGUGACUCAUUUCAGGAAAAGGACAUGUGACAAGAACCUGUCUCACAUGGGACUGCUUGCCAGGGGUGCCAGGACAGAGAUGGCAUUGUUCAGGAAAGAUUCAGGAAGUCAAACAUCCGGAGAAAAGCAUGCAUGGUUAACUCACCCCACAGGCUGGAUGAGAACAUAUUUUUUUUCUCACUGAUCAAUCUGUUUAUCUACUUCUACAAGGGCACUCAGAGGACUUCUGGAAUAAUUAUUCCUUUUGGUCUUAAAUGCAGCUUUCCUGAUGGGCCAGGAAAGGGAGAAGGGAUAAGUAUUCCUGGAAGUGUUUUACCUGUUGUCACAUUAAUUCUAUCCUCCCAAUAGCUUUUUGAGAUCAACAUUAUCCCCACUCUCAAUGUAUAAAUGGGGCAAUUUAGAUAAGGCAAGUUAAGGAAUUUGCCCAGGCCUAUCUGCUACUAAGUGGCAGACACAGGAUUCAAACUUGGAUCGAGGUUGACAUUGAAGUGUAUUUCCAAUGUCAGAAAAUGUCCUCUUUCCAUGCUAGUGCCCAGGUUUCCUCUCAGACAAGUAGCAGCUGCUAAAUGCUACUGCAGAGCAUUGUCUCUCCCAAACACAUCUCUGUUCUGACCUCUUUCCAUCUAGCUGUCCUCAAAACCCACACAAAUUCCACCUUCUCCAUGAAGACUUCCUGAUCAGCCCGUCCCAAGAGACUAUGUACAGUCUCACACGCGCUCUCUCUCUUCUACCUCUGUAAUCCUCUCUGCUUGCACUCCUGGUUUAGCCCUUAAUAGAUAUAACUUAGUGCAUAUAAACUUUCACUUGCAUACGCAAACUCCCAGCUGUACUAUAAACUCCUCAAGGACAUGAACAAUGCCUCUGUUGAGCCCUGAGAAUUUGUAGCAUAACGAAUAAUACCAACUAGCUGCUGCAAAAUGCGUGUUGAAUAAUUAACUGGUUAAUUUUUAGGAGAGGAUAUGGGAGUCCUCAUGAUUCUGUUAAGUAGACAAGCAUGGAAAACUCAAAGGCAAGUAGUUGUCUCUUUGGCUAAGACUCCCCUUAGCACCACAGUCUGUAAUUCACUCACCAAAUCUUUCUGGGUGUUUUAGAGAAGAUGGACAUUGCUCUGCACUGAAACCAUGCGUUAAGCCCUCUGCCGGUUUUAGGGCAGACUAAAGCACCCUGCCCAAAGCUCAGAAGGUUCAGGUGAGUUCAGAAAGCUCCAGGCUUUCUGGCAGCCUAGUAUGUUCCCUUAGUCUUUUCCCAGUCUGGGCACUCACUCCCAGCUCCUCCCCAGGUGUCCACCUCUUAGCCUCACCCCAGGCCUUAGUGAUGACAGCACUAGGCAGCAACUGGUAUCUCCCCUGGAGGCAAAUAUGCCUGCACAAAGCCCAGACCUUAUGCUCUUCUCUCCUGGGAUUCUGCUUAUUUUCUUUCUCCUUAACUUAUUGCCCCUUCUUCUAUGUGGUCUGUUAAUCUCCAGAUCUUUGAGAAGGAUGACCAUGAUGUCAGAGCACGGGCCUUGGCAUGGCCUGUCUGCAUCUCUCUACUCUCCGCUCCCCGCAAGAUUCCUGGGUCAUGUGGGGCUUCCUCAGCACCCCCUCUCCAUGCAGCUCCUCCUCUCUGAGUCUGCCUCCUGCCUUUCCUUCCAGCCCCAUCCAGGGUGUGGAGAGAGCUCUUGACCACAGGUGGAGGUGCCCUUCCCCACACCUGAUGAGCUCUGUCCACACUUGGAGACCAGCUUGUGCCCUAUGGGUCUGAGCCUGGGCCUGCCUGUCCCCCAACCUGGCCAUGAGGGCCCUGAAGCCACCAUCACGUCUUACCUUUAUUUCUGAUGCCUAGAUCUGUGACUGUCACAUAGUAAGUGGUCAAUCAAUAUCAACAGAAGGUGGAAAUAAAUGGUAAAUGAGUAAACAGUCUUGGUUCUGCUCUAUGAAAAUACCGAACACAUCAACUCACUCUGACAUUAACCGUUUAGACACUUAAAGCAGGCCUCUGAACUAGACAGAUCUGGAAGCAUCACAUAGAUCACCAAUCACCUCAUCUACAAGAUGAAGACCAAGACUGGUAAGUGGCUUGCACAAGGUUAUACAGAGUGUGAGUGGCAGACCCAGACUGGAUCAGACUCUCUGAGUCCCUGCUGAAGGCACCAUCUCAGCCAUGCUUUCAGAGUAAGAAAGCUUUGCUUCUAAAAUACCUAGUAAUUCAGACUUUUCUCCCAAUUAUUUCUAAUUAGUAACCUACCUAGCACUGAUGAGUUCUUGAAUAUAUGCAUGCAUGCAUGCAUGUAUAAGUGAAUGAAUGAAUGAAGGCGAGGUCAUGCUGGAUUCACAGCAGCAGCAGUGCAGCUUUUCCAAUAAAGGCACUAGGGAUGUGUGCAGGAUUGAGGUGAUGCGUUUAAGGCAUCUUUCUGCCUCACAACCCUGACACUGUGCAUACCCGGGCUCUGCCAUCGCCCCUACUCUGCAGACUGACAGAGGCUGUUCUGAGCUGUCCUUGCCAGCACCAUUCUUGUUGAAACUAUUAGGUUGCUAUUGUUUUUAGCAAACAAACAGCUGAUGCCUCAUAGAAAAUUUAGCAUUUGCUCAUUCCUGUUCCAUUUAUCUUUUAGUUUGUGCAUUUUCUCUUCUUUAUUAGCAGGGCACUUACUGGAAAACUAGAUCUCUGUCACUUACUGGUUUCAUAUGUUUCUUCUGUUCAUAACCUACCUGGAGUCAGAAUUAUGUCUCUGUCACAGAGCAAUUGGUUGCUAUGGAAAUGAUCAUAGCACCCCAGACAGGAGGCCUGCGUUGGAGAGAAGAGGGAGUGCUGUGCCCAUUGGGGUGGGGGUGGGUAUGGGGGAGGUGCUGCAGGAAUCCUGAGUGUGACUUUUUAAGCUAGUACUGACUUGUCUAGGCCAACCUGGUCAUCUUGACCCUCUUCCUACUCAAAGUUGUGUGUGUGUGUGUGUGUGACACUUCACUUAUCCACACUCCCACGCACCCCACCCAAAUAUAAAACAAAUGCUUCCCCUAACUUCUCUCUUCUACCUCCAAGUCCAACUUAAAGUUCACCUCCUCAAUCUUCUGUGGUUAACCACCCCUGACUAACCCCUUCGCCAAUCAAACCCCCCCCCCCAUUCCUAGUGAGUUUGUACUUAAUUCAAUUGCAUUGGAAUCACUUGCAUUCCUUCUCCUGGGCUUUUUUUUUUUUUUUUUUUUUUUUUUCUUACCGGGCUUAUGUGCUUUAUCUUCCCAACAGUAUCCAGGCCCCACAGAAGUCCAUCUGGGCCAGUUGGUUUUAUCUUCCCACAGAGCCCAAGCCAAGCUUGGCUGACCACAGGCCCCUGAUAAAUGCUGCCCCCGACUCUCAGAGAGAUGGACAGUCUCAGCCCCUGAGCCUGUCCACUUUAACCCAUCCAAUCUUACCUCCUGAGGAUCAGUAUGCCUAGAGCAAUAGGCAAAUUAGACAGCUCUGGAUAUAAUUUUAAACACUGUCAACCCAAUGAAAGGAGAAAAACUCUAAAGCUUCAUUUGCCUAAAACGUCCUCAGAUGAAAAAGGAAGAAUGAGAAAACAGUUUAGUUAUUUAAAACUGUCUUAUUUUUGUGGGUUUUAACUCAUUUAUGUUUCAAGUUUGCCCUUAGUCUUGGUUGCCUGUCACCCACAGCAACUUUGACCUCCAGAACCCUUAGGGUUCACAUGCAGUGACUCUCCCUUCUGGGUUUCCACUGAAGGACCUUGCGGGACUGUCCAGGUCAAUGGCAGCUGUACAUGGUGGGAGAACCUGGGCCUGUUCCAAAGUGCUUUAUAGGACAAGGUUAAGCUCACAAACAUGAGUUGUGGACUUGGGGCCUUUCCUUUGUCUAACGGGCAAUAUCCUUACAUCCGGGACCUGGGGGUGCCGAGCCCGUGAACUUCCCUUGCGGCCUGUGGUUGGAGACAAAUAGCUGUGCUGGCUCCGUUGGCAGAGUUGGUGUUGGUUUUGGUGCCCCAACCUCCUUUUUCUGGAAUCUGCCCCAUAUUCAGUCCCCAGAUGGAAGUAAGCUGAUACUCAGGACCAAUCUUUGGGAGACUCAGAGCUGCUAGAGAAUAAUUUAAGAAGAUGAAGGGAGGCCCUGCCUUGAGCCCCUGGUUCUGAGCAGCACCAGGUCGGUCCUGGUAGACUAUAACAAUACCACUGAUUCCUAAUGGUGGAUGGGGGAACUUAGUGGGGCUAAGCAGACCCCACUUACCUAACAGCAUUUUGUCUUGGGGUCACUGGGGAAGGAGAGAGAAGGAGUGAAAACACGACCAGCAGCAACCCCCUCCCCACUGAAAUGCACCAGGAUCUCCCUAACCCGAUACAACAGACAUGAGGACAUGGGCUCCCAAGCACCCUCCAGUAAGGCAUUGUGGCCAUAGGUCAUUCUUUAACUGGCACAACUGGCUUUUCUCAGACAGACUUUCUCUUUAUUUUCUUCAGGGACUAUUACUCUGAGGCCUAGUACCUGCUGCCUCUGCUUAUAUGACUGAAUCUAGAACAAAGAAGAAACAUCUUAGCUGAGGGGUCAGGGCUCUGGCCUGACAGAAACCCUGUGGUCUUGUCUCCAUGUCAGAGCCCCAUGACUCCAAGUGGGUGGGAGUCCUGGGCUCGCCCAUGACUCAUUGUUCGAGUUCGUAGAGAACUCAGAAGUUCCAUAUGGAAGCACAGCCUCACAGGCUAGAGACAAUUCAGGAAACGAAAGCCCCAUUCACUUGAUUAUUGGUUCAUUUUCUGAUGGAAGCUUUGCUGAUCCUCUUUCAUAAGGACCAUCUGAAAUAGACAACUGAAAAGAGAACUAGGGGGCCAUUUCCCUUCCCUCCUCUAGCCCCUGAGCUCGGUCAUCAGAGUCAUGUGGACCCUAGCCCCUGGAGCUGGAUAGGGCCCAGGGGUCAUCUGGCCACUGUCUGUUUCAUUGUGACUUACCAGGCAGGCCCCCUGAUACUCAGGGACACAGCUGCCUGCCUCCUGGGCUGACUUUCCUGCAAUGCUCUAGAGCGGAGCCAGCCAGCUUCUCCAAGAAGCCGGUGGUAAAUACUCGCUCUGGGCACUGUCACCUUUUCUUUGUUUUUUCCUUACAACCCUUUAGAAACAUAAAACCAUCCUGAGCUCACGGGCUUCACAGAAACAGGCUGUGAGGAUAGGCAAAGUACAGCCCAUGAGCAAGACCCAGCCCACUGCCUGUUUUUGUAAAAUAAAGUUUUAGUGGACACAGCCCUGCUGAUCUCUUGAUGAAUUGCCUAUGGCUGCUUCCACGCUACUACAAUCGUGGAAUUCUGUAGUUGAGACAGAGCCUGUAAGGUCAAUAAAGCCAAAAAUAGUUUCUAUCUGUCCCUUCAUAGAAAACAUCUGCCAAGCCCUUCUCUAAAGUUUCAUAUGCAUUCGUUCCUAUUUAACACUCAAAACAAUUUUUGAGAUUAGUAUUAGAGAUGAGUAUUCCUAAUCUUACAGAUGAAGAAACCGAGAACGAGAAAGGAUAAGGCUUGCUCAAGGUCACAUGGCUAAUGAGGGGCAGAACCAGAACCCAAACCCAGAUCUCAUCUCUAAACCAGGGCUUCUUCACCUGGUGAAGCCGCUCCCGAAAGGUGGCAAUUGUGAAGCGUGGAAUAUAUCUCCUGUUCAGCCCCAUCAAGUAGGGUAGCAGCAGGUUCCUUGGUGCCACGGUCUGAGAGAGACAAACUGACCUUGAACAGAAACUCUUAAGAUUCUCACCAAAUCCCACUGUGCAGAGAAUGUCUCCAAGCCCAGUGUGCUCUCUGUGCACAGGAAAGAUUCCUUUGGCAAGCUGGCUGGCUGGCAGGAGAGCUGUCCCCUAAAAGCCAAGUUUGGCUUCUGUUAAACAUUUAACAACAGGUCGUCACUUCACUGUGAAGAGCCACAGAGCUGCUGCCAUCUUCCCAUGGAGACGUGGACUGCCCUUGGAUCCCCCCAGGUCCCAGGGCUGCCAUUUCCUCUAACUGCUGGGAACAGCUAUGCCAUUAUUUGUAUGAGAGAGACCCCCAGUGGAUAUUGCUGGUAUCACUGUCCCUAAAAGCAGCUCGGCAAACACCUUCCAGGCUCCCAGAAGCUGGGUGUGUUCAAGAUUAUUACAUUUGAGUAAUUGCCCCAGUACCUAAAACCCAAUGAGCAUUGUCCUCUUCAAAAUCCUUCCCGAGGGAGGUUGGUGCCUGCAUGUUCUAACAAUGCUGCCAUUUCACAGAAUGUAUUUGGAACGCUUCCUUCAAACCUGAUUUUUUUUUCUUUUUCUUUUUCUUUUUCUUUUUUUUUUUUUUUUUUGUGAGACGGAGUUUUGCUCUUGUUGCCCAGGCUGGAGUGCAAUGGUACGAUCUCGGCUCACCACAACCUCUGCCUCCUGGGUUCAACCGAUUCUCCUGCCUCAGCCUCCUGAGUAGCUGAGAUUAUAGGCAUGUGCCACCGUGCCCAGCUAAUUUUGUAUUUUCACUAGAGACAGGGUUUCUCCAUGUUGUUUAGGCUGGUCUCGAACUCCCAACCUCGGGUAAUCUGCCCGCCUCGGCCUCCCAAAGUGCUGGGAUUACAGGCAUGAGCCACUGCGCUUGGCCUGCACCUGAUUUUAUUAUGACCUUUCACAUGCUUUUAGAGUCUUUUCUGUGAGGCAGAUCUGACUUCCCAGAACAGCUUGGUCUUUGUAAAACUUUGUUUUAGCUGCUUUCAGCCUAGCUUUGCUCCAGAACCUGUUUUUUGUGUUCCAUAGUGUUGCUAAUUCUGGUGGUUGUUAUUGUUUGCAGUUUUUUAUUUGAAUUGGAUAACAAAAUUAUGCAUUAGGAUUUCCAGCAUUUCUGGAAAAGUCAGAAAGCACUUGUUUUGAGUUCUUGCUCAGUAGCUAAUAGCUGAAACUAAAGAGGAGCUGUUGCCCUCUUUGGACAGGUAAGGAUUCUCCAGUUUGCCACAGUCCCCACCACUCCGUAUUGCCCCUUAUUGGCUGUGCUGGUGUUUGAUUGCAUUGCCUUGUUGGUCCCUAGAGAAGUUUUAAAGUUAUGUCAUACAUACAGAAUAAUUGCCAUGAAAAUAGCUGCUGCCACAGAUCCCAGACACUAUGCUGAGCACAGUAUGUACAUGUUCUCAUUUAACCCAGUGAGAUAGGUAUCAUUAUUCCCAAUUUACAGACAUAGAAAGUCAGGGUCAGUAAAUGUCAGGAUCAGAAAAUGUCUUUAUAAGGGUUGAAUUGCAUUUCAGUUUGGACAUCUGCAUUUUACCAUGUCAGAUAAUGAACUCCUCUAACUGGUUUAGGAGAUGUGACUGGCUCAGUAAAGGCCUCAAAUAAUCACUAGGUUUUCCUCUUUUUCCACCUGCAACAUAUUCAAGAAUGGUUAACCCUGAUCUCAAGUCAUGAAGUAAGCAAAGCGUCUUUGAUGUUAAAGACACUGGAAUAUCCUCCCCUUUCUUCCUCAGCAUAUCUGUCUUGAACCACACACCCAUGCCAAGUGCGCAGUACUCAGAUCUUCCCGCAGGGCCCAGGGACCCCACUGUGACACAGUGUCUGGGCCUCAACUCUAAGACAGCACCUCACCUUCCGGAUUUUUCCCAUCCCUUUUUUCUACCAAAACAUCCUUUGCUGUGUCCCGUACAUUCAAGCUCUUGAUAAGUGACUAACUACUUAAUUUGAUAAGUGAUUUGGGAGAUAAGUGAUUAACAGACUCAUUUAUUCUUCUAAAAAUUACUUAUUGAAUGUCUAUCCCCUCCUCUUAAAACCAUAUGAGGGCUACCAAUUGCUCCUAAGAGACUAAUGACCAAAAUCCUUCAUAAGGCCUAAAAGGCUUGUGAGACACUGUGUCUGCUGGCCCCUCCAGCCAUCGUCUCUGCCCAGCACUCCCCCAGCCUUCUAGUUCCUCCAGCAUCCCUUGUCUCCAUCUACUAAGACUUUACACUAACCCCGUCCUUGGCCUGGAAAGCUCUUUCACCCCUCUUAGCUGGUAACUGCUUUUUUGUCUUUCAGGUUGCUAUGAAGUCACAACUUCAUCAAAAUGCAUUCCAUGACCUCACUGACAGGUUCAAAUUGCACCAUGAGACAUGCACUGGCACCAUGAACCUAUCAGAUAAAGUGUCCUGAGGGCUGCAGUCUUGCAUUUAUUUAUUUGAUGAACAUACCUCUACCUCAUCAGACAAUGAGCUCCAUGAUGUCAUCGUGGAGGGAUUUUAUCUGUUUCUAGUCGCUUUUGCUUCCCCAGUGCCUAGAUGCCUAAUUCAUAUUUGUUGAAGGGAAAUGGGGUAGGGUAGAGGAGGAGGGAGGAAGAAAUUUCUAUCGCUUUCUACAGUUAAAAUGGAGAGAAUCUAAAGAACUUUCCCAAGGACACAGAGAUAGUAAGUGACACAGCAGGACACUGAACCCAAGUUUCCAAGGCACGUUUCUUUUCCACCCUAUCAUAACUUUCUUCUAGGGCCUUGGCAGGCCUCUGUGUGCUGUGAUAAUCACACCCUGAAGAUUAUUAUGACAUUGGAGGCAUGCCCGGUCUGGCUCCAGACAAGGUGGUGCAUGCAAUAUCAUGGAGCUGCAGCAGUGUCACUUAGCCACAUGUAGGGCAGAAUGAUGCUAGGCAUACCCUGACAGAUCUCUGGGUGACAUAAAGAUGACUUCGACUUGGCGCUAUCCAGGUGGAUUCCUGGGGGCGCCACAACUAGACUUAGCAGGAGUAUAAGAUUUAGGAUAAUCAGCCUGCUAGAAGAAGAAAAGCAACCAUCUAUUGUGCCCUUAUCAUAUGCAAAACUCUUUAAUGACACUAUUUGGUUGAUUCUGACAUAAGACCUUCUAAAGAGAUACUAUUUCCCCCAUUUUACAGAUGAUGAAACUGAGGUCUGGAGACCGAGUUGCCCAGAGUCACACAACUGUCAGUAGUCAUGGAGGAAUUAGCUUUGAAAUGCAGAUGUGUCUGAUUUUGAGCAAUUUUUAUUCUGUGAUGGAGCGCAGCCUCAAAAUAGAACAGAAUGCUCAACUACCUCAUAUAGAAUGUGAGAAAUAACCCAAGAAGUAGAAAGAAUGAGAGGGAGCUGGAAUGAACCAUCAUGGCUGGAGGUUCAGUAGAAGGUUGCUGGCCCUGGGAGCAAGGCCCAGGACCCAAGGAAGAAGGGUUGGCUGGAGCCAUAGGAAGAAGGGAUGCAGCCAGAACAGCACCGCAGCUGACUGAGGCAGGUGCAGAAGAAGCUCAGGCCCGGGCAGGAAAGGACCUCGCUUACUUGUUUAGAACGUUACACAAAAUGCAAUGCACCAUCAAUUCUUGGGUCAUCCCCUCCCUCUGCAUUCUUUUUAGCAAAAGGAGUUAUUAUUUCCACUUUCUAUGAAAACAUUCAUUUCUUCAAAAUCAGAUAUCCUAGAUCUAGAAGAAAAAAGUGGGUAAAAUGAACCAGCUGUACAGUUCAAAGGAAAAUAUAGUGAUGCGCUCUGUC